GAUGAAGAACGUAGCGAAAUGCGAUAAGUAGUGUGAAUUGCAGAAUUCAGUGAAUCAUCGAAUCUUUGAACGCACAUUGCGCCCCUUGGUAUUCCAUGGGGCAUGCCUGUUCGAGCGUCAUUUGUACCUUCAAGCUUUGCUUGGUGUUGGGUGUUAGUCUCGCCUUUGCGUGUAGACUCGCCUUAAAAUAAUUGGCAGCCGGCGUAUUGAUUUCGGAGCGCAGUACAUCUCGCGCUUUGCACUCAUAACGACAGCGUCCAAAAGUACAUUUUACACUCUUGACCUCGGAUCAGGUAGGGAUACCCGCUGAACUUAAGCAUAUCAAUAAGCGGAGGA
rnacentral:misc_RNA from 1 species